rnacentral:rRNA from 1 species
GAUGAACGCUAGCGGCAGGCCUAAUACAUGCAAGUCGGACGGGAUUCAGGAGCUUGCUUCUGAUGAGAGUGGCGCACGGGUGCGUAACACGUAUGUAACCUACCUUUAUCAGGGGGAUAGCCUCUCGAAAGAGAGAUUAAGCCCGCAUAAAAUCACAGCACAGCAUUGUGUAAUGAUCAAAUAUUUAUAGGAUAAAGAUGGGCAUGCGGAACAUUAGCUAGAUGGCGGGGUAACGGCCCACCAUGGCGACGAUGUUUAGGGGAUCUGAGAGGAUGGCCCCCCACACUGGUACUGAGACACGGACCAGACUCCUACGGGAGGCAGCAGUAAGGAAUAUUGGUCAAUGGGCGGAAGCCUGAACCAGCCACGCCGCGUGCAGGAAGACGGCCCUACGGGUUGUAAACUGCUUUUAUACGGGAAUAAACCCAGAUACGUGUAUCUGGCUGAAUGUACUGUAAGAAUAAGGAUCGGCUAACUCCGUG